rnacentral:lncRNA from 1 species
CUGCGUGUGUUGACCAAAAGAGGGCGCCAAAGCCCACAGAAAAGGCUGUAGAGGAGAAAAUACACAGGCUGAAAGGAGAACGCAAGGGAAAGUUGGCACAAAUAACCAAACAGAAGAAUGAUUUAGCCAAAUUGAAGGAAAAUGAACACAAUGUUAAUUUCAUUAAAGAUGAAGAAUUGCUACGGUUCGAAAGAUGCUUAAGACAGUAUGAACGGAUUAAUGAAGAGUUGUGUGAGUUAAUAGAUGAAGAUGAGAAGAAAGUGGAUCAAGAUGCUUAUGAGAACAGAUUUUCGGAAUUUCAGCGGUUUAUAGAAGACACAAACAAAUGGAUUGCAGAUGUCCUAAAAGAUGAGGAAGAGGAUAUUAGGCCACAUGAUAGUGUAUCCAAAGCUAACUCCGUGGUAAGCCAAACUUCCAGUACUACUUCUGCAAUGCUGAGAAUUAAAGCUGAACGUGAAGCACAGUUGGCAAGAGCUGCAGCAAUGAAAAAGAGAGAAGCAAUAGAACAGGAAGAAAUUCGCUUGAGAAUUAGAAAAGAGCAAUUGCAGCUUGAAACUGAGCUUGCUGCUUCAGACGCCAAACUGAAGGUGUACGAAGAAUUUGAAGAUGUUCAUGAAUUUAAAUGUGAUUUAUCAAAGCUACCUUCAGGACCCAGAUUUGAACCCCUGAUGUGUAGACAAGAAAAACACAGUGUAGACGAUUAUGUGCAUCGUGGAGCUGGUAAGACAUCCCUUACAUUCAAUCCAAAGCCAGCCACUCAAGUUGGUGCUUCAGAUAGAAAAAAGUCAUCGUCAAGGUUUGAUGCUGUCAGCAGUACGCCACAUCUUAAUCAUCAUGAUCACACUGAUUUUUCUACAGAUAGCCUGCACGAAGUGUUACAGCGUCAAAACGAAGUCACUGAGAUGCUCAUUAAACAACAGAGUUUGUCUCAACUCCCUCAAAGAGACAUAUCCACAUUUACAGGAGAUCCUCUGACUUACAGAUCUUUCAUAAGGGCAUUCGAGCAUGCUAUCGACAGUAAAACAGACAGUCAUCAGGACCGGCUGUACUACCUCGAACAGUUCACAAAUGGAGAGCCACUUGAUCUCAUUCGGAGCUGUGAGCACAUGAAACCUGACAGAGCUUAUAAAGAAGCCAGAGAACUGCUUGAUCGUCACUAUGGAGAUGAAAUGACCAUCGCUACAGCUUAUAUCAAGAAGGCUAUGGAAUGGCCUCAGAUAAGGCCGGAAGAUAGAAAAGGAUUGAAUGCUUUUGCUUUGUUCUUGGUUGGAUGUUGUAACACAAUAAAUGAUGUGGACUACAUGGACGAAAUGAACAAUCCUACCAACGAUGAAGUCCAUUUUACACCUGACAGAGCUUAUAAAGAAGCCAGAGAACUGCUUGAUCAUCACUAUGGAGAUGAAAUGACCAUCGCUACAGCUUAUAUCAAGAAGGCUAUGGAAUGGCCUCAGAUAAGGCCGGAAGACAGAAAAGUAUUGAAUGCUUUUGCUUUGUUCUUGGUUGGAUGUUGUAACACAAUAAAUUAUGUGGAUAACAUGGAUGAAAUGAACAAUCCUACCAACAUGAAGUCCAUUUUAUCCAAACUUCCAUUCAAACUGAAAGAAAGAUGGAGAA